rnacentral:piRNA from 1 species
UGCAGACCCAGGGAAGGAGCUCAGCUAC